UGGCGUAGUGGUUAACGCGCCCCAACUAGAGAUCGGGGAGCCGUGAGUUCGAUUCUCAC
rnacentral:tRNA from 1 species